AGUCCCGUAGUUCAAUGGCAGAACACCGCGCUCCAAACGCGGAGAUGGUCGUUCGACCCGACCCGGGGCUG
rnacentral:tRNA from 1 species